rnacentral:rRNA from 1 species
ACGAACGCUGGCGGCGUGCUUAACCCAUGCCAGUCGAACGGAAAGGCCCUGCUUUUGUGGGGUGCUCGAGUGGCGAACGGGUGAGUAACACGUGAGUAACCUGCCCUUGACUUUGGGAUAACUUCAGGAAACUGGGCUAAUACCGGAUAGGAGCUCCUGCUGCAUGGUGGGGGUUGGAAAGUUUCGGCGGUUGGGGAUGGACUCGCGGCUUAUCAGCUUGUUGGUGGGGUAGUGGCUUACCAAGGCUUUGACGGGUAGCCGGCCUGAGAGGGUGACCGGCCACAUUGGGACUGAGAUACGGCCCAGACUCCUACGGGAGGCAGCAGUGGGGAAUAUUGCACAAUGGGCGGAAGCCUGAUGCAGCAACGCCGCGUGCGGGAUGACGGCCUUCGGGUUGUAAACCGCUUUCGCCUGUGACGAAGCGUGAGUGACGGUAAUGGGUAAAGAAGCACCGGCUAACUACGUG